AUUUAGCCCCGAUUGAAGUGGAAAUCCUUUUUAUUUUUUUUAAAAUAAAAAGAUUGUAGCGGAAAGCGGGACGAAAC
rnacentral:sRNA from 1 species